CCAAAAAGGUGGUUCGUUGCUGAACUGGUAUGAGCAGCCCAGGGGUGAGUAACGCGUGGGGAAUCUGCCUUUGAGCGGGGGACAACAUUUGGAAACGAAUGCUAAUACCGCAUAAAAACUUUAAACACAAGUUUUAAGUUUGAAAGAUGCAAUUGCAUCACUCAGAGAUGAUCCCGCGUUGUAUUAACUAGUUGGUGAGGUAAAGGCUCACCAAGGCGAUGAUACAUAGCCGACCUGACAGGGUGAUCGGCCACAUUGGGACUGAGACACGGCCCAAACUCCUACGGGAGGCAGCAGUAGGGAAUCUUCGGCAAUGGACGAAAGUCUGACCGAGCAACGCCGCGUGAGUGAAGAAGGUUUUCGGAUCGUAAAACUCUGUUGGUAGAGAAGAACGUUGGUGAGAGUGGAAAGCUCAUCAAGUGACGGUAACUACCCAGAAAGGGACGGCUAACUACGUGCCAGCAGCCGCGGUAAUACGUAGGUCCCGAGCGUUGUCCGGAUUUAUUGGGCGUAAAGCGAGCGCAGGUGGUUUAUUAAGUCUGGUGUAAAAGGCAGUGGCUCAACCAUUGUAUGCAUUGGAAACUGGUAGACUUGAGUGCAGGAGAGGAGAGUGGAAUUCCAUGUGUAGCGGUGAAAUGCGUAGAUAUAUGGAGGAACACCGGUGGCGAAAGCGGCUCUCUGGCCUGUAAACUGACACUGAGGCUCGAAAGCGUGGGGGAGCAAACAGGAUUAAAUACCCUGGUAGUCCACGCCGUAAACGAUGAGUGCUAGAUGUAGGGAGCUAUAAGUUCUCUGUAUCGCAGCUAACGCAUUAAGCACUCCGCCUGGGGAAGUACGACCCGCCAAGGGUUGAAAACUCUAAACGAAAUUUGAACCGGGAGAGGC
rnacentral:rRNA from 1 species